GAUGAACGCUGGCGGCGUGCCUAACACAUGCAAGUCGAGCGAUUCUCUUCGGAGAAGAGCGGCGGACGGGUGAGUAACGCGUGGGUAACCUGCCCUGUACACACGGAUAACAUACCGAAAGGCACGCUAAUACGAGAGAUUAUACUUUUAUCGCAUGGUAGAAGUAUCAAAGAUUUUGCGGUGCAGGAUGGACCCGCGUGUGAUUAGCUAGUUGGUAAGGUAACGGCUUACAAAGUCGACGAUCAGUAGCCGACCUGAGGGGGUAAUCGGCCACAUUGGAACUGAGACACAGUCCAAACUCCUACGGGAGGCAGCAGUGGGGAAUAUUGCACAACGGGCGAAAGCCUGAUGCAGCAAUGCCGCGUGAGCGAUGAAGGCCUUCGGUUCGUAAAGCUCUGUCCUCGAGGAAGAUAAUGACGGUACUUGAGGAGGAAGCCCCGGCUAACUACGUGCCAGCAGCCGCAGUAA
rnacentral:rRNA from 1 species